GACGAACGCUGGCGGCGUGCUUAACACAUGCAAGUCGAACGGAAAGGCCCCUUUGGGGGUACUCGAGUGGCGAACGGGUGAGUAACACGUGAGUAACCUGCCCUUUACUUCGGGAUAACUUCAGGAAACUGGGGCUAAUACCGGAUAGGAAUCCUUGCUGCAUGGGGGGGGUUGGAAAGCUUCGGCGGUUUUGGAUGGACUCGCGGCUUAUCAGCUUGUUGGUGGGGUAGUGGCUUACCAAGGCUUUGACGGGUAGCCGGCCUGAGAGGGCGACCGGCCACAUUGGGACUGAGAUACGGCCCAGACUCCUACGGGAGGCAGCAGUGGGGAAUAUUGCACAAUGGGCGGAAGCCUGAUGCAGCAACGCCGCGGGCGGGAUGACGGCCUUCGGGUUGUAAGCCGCUUUCAGCAGGGGCGAAGCUUGUGGUGACGGUACCUGCAGAAGAAGCACCGGCUAACUACGUG
rnacentral:rRNA from 1 species